rfam:Oryza glaberrima chromosome 6 Oglab06_0083_2, whole genome shotgun sequence.
CUGAGCCGUAUGAGGUAGGAAACUCUCAAGUACGGUUCUAGGGGAAGGAACUACCUAUUCCGAC